CCCUGUUAACAAUAAAGCAUUAUGAGCAUCUCGGUUUAGCUGCUGCAGCCUUGAAGAGCCCGCAUGCUGAGAGCCACAUUUACAGUUUAUUAAGGAAAACAAAGCAGCACGAUGCUCUGGCUCAGCUGUAGGAGUGGGAUGCGCUGGGGCUGUGCAGCCCUACCCGAGGGAUGGCAAGGGACCAGAUGGCACUUGGGAGCCUCACAGGUGCAGUGGCAGAGACAAGCUAUGAGACCUAUGUAAGAAAAACCAUCGGCAACUGAUCCCUUCCGCAGAGAUAAAUCUGUUUUCUUUCACUUGCUCAGAACCAGCAGUACCUGCUGUUCUUUUGGCCAGAGGAAUGAAAAGCAUCAGAGGAAAGAGGCAGCCACAGAAAGCAGCCCAGCCCUGAUACAGAAGAAACAAAACGUUACGCCUUGAGAUGCAAUUUGAGAGCUAGAGCCCGCUGAAAGUGGAUGGACUGAAAGGGAAUUAAUGCAUGAUCAGACACAGCAUCAGCUGCAGAGUUUAAAUGGGAUCCAGGCCUUCCCAAGCGUGCUCAGUUCCACACCUCCGCACAAAGCUCUGUGGAUUACCUACAGCCAGCGGUGGGGUUUGGCAGCUGAGUUCCUGCAUGCACAGAUUUAAGUUAUGGCUGAGAUGGAAAGCAGCCAGCUGGCACUACACAUGGCUGAUCUUUCAACCAGGAUGUCCUUCAGCCAGGUCCUCUGUUGUUCUACACCACCAAAAUCCAUGCAGGUUAUUAAAAGAUAGCUCAUUUUUCUAUUUAUUUGACUGUAGGAAGGGAAGAGAAUAACCAGCACCAUUUCAAAUUUCAAGUUAAAAAGAAGCUGUGAAAACAAAUUGAGGAGCGGUACAGCACUGCUAAGGGAUCAGGUGCCUUCUCAAAGUUCCUUUGGAUAAAUUCAUUAAACACACGGCAUUUCAGCUCGGCACUCAUUAAGAGGGCUGAAAACAUUGAUUUGAGGGGAUUAAAGCUUCUUAAAACUCUCUUUAAUGGUUUUAAUGAUUCUUUCAUUACAGUCAAAUCGUGACCCUGGGAAAAACAGACGCAUAAUCCUGAGGUCAGGCUUGGUGGGUACAGUUGGAAAAGUAACAGGUAAGUGCAUCGCAUGACUUGCCCUGCCUGGGCCCAGCACUGCUCUGCAGGGAGAGCAGCUUCCAGUGGUUUUACCACUAUCAGCAAAACCAUGGAUAUAAGGGCUGUCCUGAAAAAGGUUGUAAAGUUGAAGCCAGGAGCUAAUGGGUAAUUACUGCAGAGUCAGGUUUGUUUUGGAGAUGUUUCUGAUUUCCUUGAGAACUAUUUAAGGGUUUAGUCAUAAAGGGCAGCAUGCCAGGAGGCGCUUUUCAACAUAUCAGUCUCACUUCUGUCAUGGCAUGAAGCACUAUUGGAUAAUCCACGUUAAUGUUAGUAGUGCAUGGAAGAGCUCAAAAUGAUGCUUUUCUUGUGUUUAUGACAGAAAUUCCCUUGAUACUUUCCCUUUCACAACUGCAUCUUACUCUUCAAUGACUGAACAAAAAGCAAAGGAACCGCUAAAGGAGAUUCUUUGCCCACAGUCCCUGCAGGCAGUAGCUUGCCCCUCACACAGGGAGCCCUAUUGAAGUGCCAGUCUUCAUCUUCAGCCUCAACCUUUCACCACAGUCGUGUUAUCAGGAACCAAGGGAACAAGAUGAAUCUAACAAGUCAGCAUUGAUCAGUCUGCAAAGGAAAUGCUGAAGUCCUGAGUUCACACGCCCUGGAAAUGGCGCUGUAAUGUGAUGACUGCUAUCUGCACCUUCCUAAUUGGAUUCCAUUCUCUUAAUUUUGUGUAUGUAAACAAGGCCAUAUGCUGUCUGUGCUGCUUAGUGCAGUUUGACUUUGUGAGUGUACACUUAGUGUUUACUUUUUACAGAUGAUAUCCACGUGGGUUGCUUUGUUAUGGUUACCAUAGGAAAUAAACAUACAGAAAACUGAAGAAAAGCAAACAUAACUAGCAGCAGCUCCUAACUGCCCUUAUCUGGAGCACGCAAAGGCAGAUCAGGUGUCAAAGGGAGGAGAUGUUCCAUCCAGCUGCAGAGGCACUGUGCUGCUCAGCAUGGCCUUGCAUCAGGGAUACUGAGGGAAGAAUGAGAGUUCAUAGCUAAGACUGCAGAAUUUCUGUUCAAACUCACAGGGAAGAGCGAACACUGAGAAUAAGGAAUAGAAAAGCAUAUAUUCUAUUUGUUUUUCCAUUUAGUUUCAGUAUUGAGGAAGAAUUUAACAGCUCAGAGACCCAUUGCUAAGCUGCAAGGCAUGCCAUGCUGCUAGAUGCCCAGCAGAUCCCAUUUGUGCCCUCAGAGCAGAGCGGAGCUGUAUGGAGCAGUGCUUCUGCUAACUGCUACAUGCAAAGAUUUGUGGAGCACAGAUGUUUCACAGAGAGCUUCAAAGUCUCCACUGCCAUCAUUUUGCCUUUGAUUGCUUCUAAGGAAAGGAAUACUUAUUUCUGUUUAAUCUGGGGCAGCUUUUUCACCCUUUGCUAUCAAUGUGAAGAUUCAGAACAUAUUUUGAAAGACAAGAGAGGUGUCAUUACACAGUCUGCAUAAAAUCAUUACAGCUCUACGUGGCCAAUGCUGCAGUAACUCCUAUAUUUUCUUAUGCUAUAUAAGUAGUUUUUUAUUUUAACCCUUAUGUGCUACUGAAAGGUUCUGUAGAGUACAUAGGCUUGAGGUUCUGCUGACACUACAGCAUUGCCAAAAUUUUCCACUGCUGAUAUCUCUUCAUUGUGAGAUGGAAUCAUUCCCUUCUAAGUUACUGCCUGAUGUCAGUGGUCCACUGGAGAAGCUAUUGGAGAAGUGCUGGAAUUUGUUGGAACAAUUUGGCCUCCAGGAUCAGCAGUUACAAAGGCUCACACCUCCUGUAACACAAGCUAUACACCUACAAAGUCAUCAUGUCUCUGAAGCAUCACAGAGAUGAGAAUAUUGCGGUCCAGACGAUGUGAGCUCCUCGUUUGUGAUAAUGCACACAAGCUAAGAAUGAAGUUGCACGGCAAUCUGCAUUUAUUAACUAACAAGAAAUGUGCUGGAUGGGAAAUAAUCUUACAGACUUCUUUGCAUUUUUAUAGGAAAAAAAAAGAUCAAAUUUAAGAAAUUGCUCCAAAGUGAUCAAGAAUUGCAAAUCACAGCAACUGUUAUUUAUAAAGGAAAUCCUAAUGUACAAUCUCCUUUGAGCUUUCUCCACAUUGACAGUGAUGACUAUUUGUGUGAAAAACAGCCCUGGAGCUGAUCUGUAAAUGUUUCAUCUCAAGUAGCCAAGCACAAUUGUGAGGAACAGGUAGAAUAAAUCCCGAGUUAAAUUGAUACUGGGACAAAUAAAUAGGAUUGGGGCCAUUGUGAUUAAGAGCAGUGUUUGUGCCACACAAGCAGAUGCUGUGAGAUUCAGGUGAUCAUUUUGCACCAUCCCAGCAACACUGCCUCAAAUCCAGCUCCAAGAUGAUGACCUCUCUGCUGUCCAGAAGUUGUCCUUAACUUCAUUUGCUGCAGAAAAAAUCCUCACACAUCUGCCUUCUUCACCUGGAAAUACUUGGAGGCGAAUGGCUGAGAUGGUCAGCUGAAGCAAUGUGCCUUUCACCUACAGACACCCAGCUCAAAGCAGGCAAUACAAAUGUUCUAGAUGCCCAGCCCAGGACUACAGAAGGGAUUUGUUUGUUUCCACAAGUUACUGUUACUGCCUACCAGUACGGUUUCUAGACUUGCACAUUCUGGUCUGUAAAGCACCAUUUUCCUUUCAUCCUAAUUUACUACUGUAUUAACAAUCCAACAGAUUAGAUACCCAUCUGAUUACCCAAACUGCCACCAAAUGCUAGCAGUGUGUUAGCAAGGAUAUAUUUCAUCUAUAAAAUGAUGCGUGGUCCCUGCUUUUAUGUUUGGUAAAUUAUCUCAUUACAUUUCCAUUCGUAUGAUUAAAACCUGCUUGGCAGAAAAUGUUACUUUAUGUAAAUGCUUUUUCUCCCCAGGGCUAAUCUAGAGGUAGUUCACAUUCUGUUCCUAGCAACUGCUUUAGUCCAAUAAAGAGACCAGUAAAUAAUUAACAAUUACGAUGUCUAAUAUUAGUCUAGUCUUGAACCUUCAGGAGGAUCAGGCAGUGAUCAGACACUCCAUUUCAUAACUGGAUGAGCCUUUCUCGCCAUUGAUCACUCUCGUGCCACUCUGUAGGUUAUGUUACAGUGAGCUCCUUUACUGAGAGACUGACAACCCAACAAAAUGCAAGACAUCAAUUCAUUUCAAUUGGAGUUUGACUGUGCCCUUUAUAAGUAAAUAGCCAUCAUGUAAAUUGCAAAAUUAUCCAUAUGACUGUGCCAUUAUUAUUGACGAUAUAAAGAGAAGCAGACCCUUUGAUUCAGAUACCAUGAGAGUGUUUUCACUGGCAAUAAGAGGAGGAUGAAACAUUCAUGCUUCUCCCAUUUAAAUACAGAAUAAAGUUUCAUGAUCGGUAAUUUCUGAUUCUUUCCACAAUAACAUUAACAGUACUACUCAUAACUGUUCAAAACAUGAGUGUAAGUCCUAGGAAAAAAACUAGUUUUCUUUACAAUGGCUGAUGAGUUUCUGACCUAUUUCUGGAUGAAGUUUUAUUUUUAGAUCAUAAUCACUAGAAUUGUUUCCAUACCAAAUACAUAAUGAGCAAUUAGGCAGUGACCAUAUGAUAGUCUGCAGCCCACUGACCAUAACCAGCGAACCACAAAUUGCUCACUUCCCACCUACAGAAUGGCCAAACAAAUGUAACCAUCCCUGCCAGCAGCGGGAUUGCUGUUAGGGUGUCUGGGCACACCAGUGAUGUGUCAGGUGUAAGAAAUGGGAAGGAAUACAGAGACCUGUCCCUCUGUCACAUCUCCUGCAGGAAGAUUCCCUGCCAUGGUCAUAGAGAGGUAAAGCUUUGGUUAUAAAAUAACAAAGCAAACAGCUUCUAUUUCUGCUCACUGUGACUGGUGACUCUGCAGAACUGGAAUGUAGGUUUCUUGCAUCUUUAGAACUGGAGAACUUACUUAGGAAAUCCAUGCAGGGGGGUAGCUCAGACUGCACCACUGCUUGGACCGAACAAUGGCUGCAGCCAGCAGCAGCCAAGUGGAUGGCACAGAGUGGAACAGGCAUUGCACCCUGCAGCUGUUUGACCAGAACAGAUCCAUGGGAAAACACCGUAACUUCACACCUUACUGUCCUCACAUAACUCUUUUAUAAAAUCAUGCUAUUAGUUAGCUUUUCUACAAUUAUAAACAUCAAAUAUUUACUGUCUGAAACCAAGGGUGGUGUAAAGCAUGAGCCUGAAAUCCUGCAGAGCAAAGUCUUCUCAUACAGUUGGACUAUGAAAUGGCAGCCCCACCCAAAGGCUGUGAGCUCUGGCUGUGAUGUGCACCAGAAGCACCUGCUGCUGAGCCAUACGUAGCUGCCACCCAGCGCCACUGGGCUAAGAUUCAAGAUCCCAAUGUGGCGAUGCUGGUUGAAUGGGUAUGAACCUAUGGCAGAGCAACUGGAGGAAACUGGCAUCAUGAUUAUGAUAAUUCAGCCUCGUUUGAUAGCAACCAGCCCCUGCAGGUUUGAUUCUGCAAAGCAUGUGCUGGGGUCAGGAAUUACCCCCAGAAAAAAUCCAGAUUAAGAAAGAUUUUAAAAGUAAGUUUACGGGUUUGUGUAAACCAAAAGACCAAAUUUAACCAAAGUUAAACAGGGCUACACCUGUGUGUUCCAUUCCAUAACCUGACAUGUUGGUACACAUAGCUAAAGGACACUGCUUGGUCCCUCUUAAUGCCAAGCUCUGCAGAGCUGCCACAGCCUCAGCCCAAAGGAUACCCAGCCAUGGAAAACAUCAGGCCGGGACAUUCAGUAACUUAGGAAUGCUACAGAAAACCCUAGAGCUGAUCAGUAACAGCAGGAAUGCAUAAACACUGCUUGCCAGAAGUAGUAAAGCAGAGGAAAUAAACAAUAAUAGUUUGGGGAGGGGAGUUAUGCAACAAGAGAGCAAAGUGCACCAUUUUGAACAAAGUGAUUUAGAUUGUGAAGAUGAGACGCUACAGGAUAAGUUCAGAUGAACCCAACAGAACCGGAUGAAUGGGAGAAAACACACAGCAUCACAGCAGAGUCUAUUAGCGAGCAAAGGGGUGUGGAAUAAUGCCACGAAGGUGAUAAUGUCAUUAGAAUACAUACACAGGAACUCCCUACAGCCCUGGAUUUGAGUUCACAUCUCCCUCACAAGGGAUUGGAGGAGGUGAUGCCUGCAAUAUUAGGCCAGCUGGUCCCAGGUGUUCUUUCCCAUUACACGUUCCUACCUCCGGGCAGAACAGAGGUUCAAGGGCAACUGCUGAGAAUAAUCAGCUAAAGCAAAGCUUUUGUAUGAUGAGAUAUCGCAAAGUCCGGAUCUAUUUACUUCAAACACAACACAACACCUUACUGAAGCUUCCCUCUACCAAAUGCUUUUAGAAGUGUAGAUUUACAGUCUGUUAUUCAAGGUAGAAAAAUAGGAUCCGUUCCAAUUAUUAUUUGAUGUUUUAUAUUAUUGCAUUUCUGGGUUUGUUUCAUCACUAUUAAUGUUGCAAUGCUUUCCCUAAGUUUGUUGUUCUUAAUAGCAGUGCAAUCACACGAAUCACCAUUUUCAUUCGUUUUUCAUUGCUGGAUUCCUCACUUAUAUCUCCCAAUGGUUGACUACAGAUUUUCCCCCAGCAAUAGGGAUUCCCUCAAAGCUUCCAUCAAACUAAAAAACCCUGAGCUAGCAGAGGAGCUAAUGCUCAUUUUAUCAUCAGAAGAUGAUCAAGAAGGGUACUCGUGAUACCUUGAGGACACAUUUUGCUCACCCAGAGCUUAGCAGUGGUACCAGAUGAGCAUCUUGUUCCUCACCCCGGCGCUGGCACGUUUAUUCCGGGCUGCUCUGCCGCACUGGAGCGUAACGCAACGCCUUCCUCCGGUGCUGCAGCCUUUCUGCCAUACAAACACACUGUGCUCCCCUCUCACCUUCCUUUACAAAAAAAAAA